UUGUACUGGGCCCACGUAAACCCACGUACUCCAUGGAUUUCCAGGGUUCAAAGCGCUGGAGUCUACAGCAAAAUCUUCAAAUCACACCGACAUGGAAGGACAGAAUUCUAAACAUCUCUUAACCAUUAGUCCGGCAUGUAUGUUCGAAAGAUCGGGAACCAGAGGACAACGAUUUAAAGUGAUUCACAAAAGAAGCAAUGGCGACAUGAGGAAGAACCUCUUUUAUGCAGCGAGUGGUUAGGAUUUGGAAUGCACUCUUGUGUGGUGGAGGCGGAUUCA